rnacentral:rRNA from 1 species
GACAGAGGUGGCAAGCGUUGUUCGGAUUUAUUGGGUGUAAAGGGCAGGUAGGUGGUUAUGUAGGUUUGGUGUGAAAUCCCAGGGCUCAACCCUGGAACUGCACUGAAAACUGCAUGACUUGAGUACUGGAGAGGUGAGGGGAAUUCUCGGUGUAAGGGUGAAAUCUGUAGAUAUCGAGAGGAACACCAGUGGCGAAGGCGCCUCACUGGCCGGUUACUGACACUGAAACUGCGAAAGCAAGGGGAGC